GACGAACGCUGGCGGCGUGCUUAACACAUGCAAGUCGAACGGAAAGGCCCUGCUUUUGUGGGGUGCUCGAGUAGCGAACGGGUGAGUAACAAGUGAGUAACCUGCCCUUGCCUUUGGGAUAACUUCAGGAAACUGGGGCUAAUACCGGAUAGGAGCUCCUGCUGGAUGGUGGGGGUUGGAAAGUUUCGGCGGUUAGGGAUGGACUCGCGGCUUAUCAGCUUGUUGGUGGGGUAGUGGCUUACCAAGGCUUUGACGGGUAGCCGGCCUGAGAGGGUGACCGGCCACAUUAGGACUGAGAUACGGCCCAGACUCCUACGGGAGGCAGCAGUGGGGAAUAUUGCACAAUGGGCGGAAGCCUGAUGCAGCAACGCCGCGUGCGGGAUGACGGCCUUCGGGUUGUAAACCGCUUUCGCCUGUGACGAAGCGUGAGUGACGGUAAUGGGUAAAGAAGCACCGGCUAACUACGUG
rnacentral:rRNA from 1 species